AUUGAACGCUGGCGGCAGGCCUAACACAUGCAAGUCGAACGAGUGGCGGACGGGUGAGUAAUGUCUGGGAAACUGCCUGAUGGAGGGGGAUAACUACUGGAAACGGUAGCUAAUACCGCAUACCAUCGGAUGUGCCCAGAUGGGCUGAGCUCGGAGGGGGGGUAAAGGCUCACCUAGGCGACGAUCCCUAGCUGGUCUGAGAGGAUGACCAGCCACACGGGAAAUGAGACACGGUCCAGACCCCUACGGGAGGCAGCAGUGGGGAAUAUUGAACAAUGGGCGCAAGCCUGAUACAGCCAUGCCGCGUGUAUGAAGAAGGCCUUCGGGUUGUAAAGUACUUGCAGCGGGGAGGCGUUACCCGCAGAAGAAGCACCGACUAACUCCGUGCCAGCAGCCGCGGUAAUUC
rnacentral:rRNA from 1 species